rnacentral:rRNA from 1 species
AGUGAACGCUCGCGGCAGGCCUAACACAUGCAAGUCGAACGGCAGCACAGUAAUAGCUUGCUAUUACGGGUGGCGAGUGGCGGACGGGUGAGGAAUACAUCGGAAUCUACCUUUUCGUGCGGGAUAACGCAGCUAAACUUACGCUAAUACCGCAUACGACCCACGGGUGAAAGCAGUGGAUCGUUUGAACUUGUGCGAUUGAAUGAGCCGAUGUCGGUUUAGUUGGUUGGGGGGGGAGAGGCCCACCAAGGCGACGAUUCGUAGCUGGUCUGAGAGGAUGGUAAGCCACACUGGAACUGAGACGCGGUCCGGACUACUAAGGGAGGCAGCGGUGGGGUAUGGUAGACAAUGGGAGGAAGGAUGGUCCGACCAUACCGAGUAGGUGGAGGAGGCCUUGGGGUUGGGAUGGCCUUUUGUUGGGAAAGAAGAGCAGCGGGUUAUUACCCCGCUGGUCUGACGGUACCCUAAGAAUAAGCACCGGCUAACUUCGUG